UACGUAGGGGGCAAGCGUUGUCCGGAAUCAUUGGGCGUAAAGCGCGUGUAGGCGGUCCGGUAAGUCCGCUGUGAAAGUCGGGGGCUCAACCCUCGAAUGCCGGUGGAUACUGUCGGGCUAGAGUGCGGGAGAGGCGAGUGGAAUUCCUGGUGUAGCGGUGAAAUGCGCAGAUAUCAGGAGGAACACCAAUUGCGAAGGCAGCUCGCUGGAACGUAACUGACGCUGAGACGCGAAAGCGUGGGGAGCAAACAGG
rnacentral:rRNA from 1 species